CAUAGACCUAGCCUGUUGGACUGGCUCAGGAUGUGUUCAGCUGAUCUGGAUGGGGAGUCAAAUUCACAUCCUGUGAGAAGUCAGCAAAUGGCAAAAAAACAAAAACCAGAAUGGAAAGAGGUUAGAAGAACAGCAUCCUGCAAGCUGACCUAAGGACAUUUUUAGACAAACAAUCCUAAUCACCAACAGCCGGUGGCAGAUUAUUUACACAUCUCUAGUGCUGGUUAUUAUAUGGAUGCCUGAAAUUAUUUCAGCUAUGGAAAGGUGAAAUUGUGACGGUGUCAGGUUGAAACCUCAUUUGAGAGAAUCCCACAUUCCACCGAGACUAAUGACUGGAAAUUCAGACUUGAUGAGAGAAGGGACAAGAAGUGAGAACAUGACAAAGCUGCACUGGCACCGGCAGAGCUGUUAUUUUUCAGAAGAACCUUUGGAAACCAGUCACUUAUAUUUAACUCCACUCCAGCAUAUUCAAGUUAUGGGAUUUCAUACCAUUGAUGUGGAGACGUACUAUUUUUAAACUUCUAAUAUCUCCAUCAGAAUUGUUUUCACUCAGUGAGUUGAAAAGAUUUUGGAAAUAACACUGAGAUAUAUUAUGUGAAGAUUCUAUUUUUUAUAUAAUAUGCAAAAAUUUAAAAAAGGUGAAUAUUUUCUUUGUUAUUCUC